rnacentral:rRNA from 1 species
GAUUAAGUUAUUAAGGGCGCACGGUGGAUGCCUUGGCACUAGAAGCCGAUGAAGGACGUUACUAACGACGAUAUGCUUUGGGGAGCUGUAAGUAAGCUUUGAUCCAGAGAUUUCCGAAUGGGGAAACCCAGCAUGAGUUAUGUCAUGUUAUCGAUAUGUGAAUACAUAGCAUAUCAGAAGGCACACCCGGAGAACUGAAACAUCUUAGUACCCGGAGGAAGAGAAAGAAAAUUCGAUUCCCUUAGUAGCGGCGAGCGAAACGGGAAGAGCCCAAACCAACAAGCUUGCUUGUUGGGGUUGUAGGACACUCUAUACGGAGUUACAAAGGACGACAUUAGACGAAUCAUCUGGAAAGAUGAAUCAAAGAAGGUAAUAAUCCUGUAGUCGAAAAUGUUGUCUCUCUUGAGUGGAUCCUGAGNACGACGGNACACGUGANAUUCCGUCGGAAUCUGGGAGGACCAUCUCCUAAGGCUAAAUACUCUCUAGUGACCGAUAGUGAACCAGUACCGUGAGGGAAAGGUGAAAAGCACCCCGGAAGGGGAGUGAAAUAGAACCUGAAACCGUGUGCUUACAAGUAGUCAGAGCCCGUUAAUGGGUGAUGGCGUGCCUUUUGUAGAAUGAACCGGCGAGUUACGAUUUGAUGCAAGGUUAAGCAGUAAAUGUGGAGCCGUAGCGAAAGCGAGUCUGAAUAGGGCGUUUAGUAUUUGGUCGUAGACCCGAAACCAGGUGAUCUACCCUUGGUCAGGUUGAAGUUCAGGUAACACUGAAUGGAGGACCGAACCGACUUACGUUGAAAAGUGAGCGGAUGAACUGAGGGUAGCGGAGAAAUNCNANUCCAACNNNNNNNGNNUNAAANAGNNGGUUCUCUCCGAAAUAGCUUUAGGGCUAGCCUCAAGUGAUGAUUAUUGGAGGUAGAGCACUGUUUGGACGAGGGGCCCCUCUCGGGUUACCGAAUUCAGACAAACUCCGAAUGCCAAUUAAUUUAACUUGGGAGUCAGAACAUGGGUGAUAAGGUCCGUGUUCGAAAGGGAAACAGCCCAGACCACCAGCUAAGGUCCCAAAAUAUAUGUUAAGUGGAAAAGGAUGUGGCGUUGCCCAGACAACUAGGAUGUUGGCUUAGAAGCAGCCAUCAUUUAAAGAGUGCGUAAUAGCUCACUAGUCGAGUGACACUGCGCCGAAAAUGUACCGGGGCUAAACAUAUUACCGAAGCUGUGGAUUGUCCUUUGGACAAUGGUAGGAGAGCGUUCUAAGGGCGUUGAAGCAUGAUCGUAAGGACAUGUGGAGCGCUUAGAAGUGAGAAUGCCGGUGUGAGUAGCGAAAGACGGGUGAGAAUCCCGUCCACCGAUUGACUAAGGUUUCCAGAGGAAGGCUCGUCCGCUCUGGGUUAGUCGGGUCCUAAGCUGAGGCCGACAGGCGUAGGCGAUGGAUAACAGGUUGAUAUUCCUGUACCACCUAUAAUCGUUUUAAUCGAUGGGGGGACGCAGUAGGAUAGGCGAAGCGUGCGAUUGGAUUGCACGUCUAAGCAGUAAGGCUGAGUAUUAGGCAAAUCCGGUACUCAUUAAGGCUGAGCUGUGAUGGGGAGAAGACAUNCAGUCUUCGAGUCGUUGAUUUCACACUGCCGAGAAAAGCCUCUAGAUAGAAAAUAGGUGCCCGUACCGCAAACCGACACAGGUAGUCAAGAUGAGAAUUCUAAGGUGAGCGAGCGAACUCUCGUUAAGGAACUCGGCAAAAUGACNCCGNNNCNNGNGAGNAGGGGUGCNCUUUAGGGUUAACGCCCAGAAGAGCCGCAGUGAAUAGGCCCAAGCGACUGUUUAUCAAAAACACAGGUCUCUGCUAAACCGUAAGGUGAUGUAUAGGGGCUGACGCCUGCCCGGUGCUGGAAGGUUAAGAGGAGUGGUUAGCUUCUGCGAAGCUACGAAUCGAAGCCCCAGUAAACGGCGGCCGUAACUAUAACGGUCCUAAGGUAGCGAAAUUCCUUGUCGGGUAAGUUCCGACCCGCACGAAAGGCGUAACGAUUUGGGCACUGUCUCAACGAGAGACUCGGUGAAAUCAUAGUACCUGUGAAGAUGCAGGUUACCCGCGACAGGACGGAAAGACCCCGUGGAGCUUUACUGUAGCCUGAUAUUGAAAUUCGGCACAGCUUGUACAGGAUAGGUAGGAGCCUUUGAAACGUGAGCGCUAGCUUACGUGGAGGCGCUGGUGGGAUACUACCCUAGCUGUGUUGGCUUUCUAACCCGCACCACUUAUCGUGGUGGGAGACAGUGUCAGGCGGGCAGUUUGACUGGGGCGGUCGCCUCCUAAAAGGUAACGGAGGCGCUCAAAGGUUCCCUCAGAAUGGUUGGAAAUCAUUCAUAGAGUGUAAAGGCAUAAGGGAGCUUGACUGCGAGACCUACAAGUCGAGCAGGGUCGAAAGACGGACUUAGUGAUCCGGUGGUUCCGCAUGGAAGGGCCAUCGCUCAACGGAUAAAAGCUACCCCGGGGAUAACAGGCUUAUCUCCCCCAAGAGUUCACAUCGACGGGGAGGUUUGGCACCUCGAUGUCGGCUCAUCGCAUCCUGGGGCUGUAGUCGGUCCCAAGGGUUGGGCUGUUCGCCCAUUAAAGCGGUACGCGAGCUGGGUUCAGAACGUCGUGAGACAGUUCGGUCCCUAUCCGUCGUGGGCGUAGGAAAUUUGAGAGGAGCUGUCCUUAGUACGAGAGGACCGGGAUGGACAUACCUCUGGUGUACCAGUUGUCGUGCCAACGGCAUAGCUGGGUAGCUAUGUGUGGACGGGAUAAGUGCUGAAAGCAUCUAAGCAUGAAGCCCCCCUCAAGAUGAGAUUUCCCAACUUCGGUUAUAAGAUCCCUCAAAGAUGAUGAGGUUAAUAGGUUCGAGGUGGAAGCAUGGUGACAUGUGGAGCUGACGAAUACUAAUCGAUCGAAGACUUAAUCAA